GAUGAACGCUAGCGGCAGGCUUAACACAUGCAAGUCGAGGGGCAGCAUAAUGGAUAGCAAUAUCUAUGGUGGCGACCGGCGCACGGGUGCGUAACGCGUAUGCAACCUACCUUUAACAGGGGGAUAACACUGAGAAAUUGGUACUAAUACCCCAUAAUAUCAUAGAAGGCAUCUUUUAUGGUUGAAAAUUCCGAUGGUUAGAGAUGGGCAUGCGUUGUAUUAGCUAGUUGGUGGGGUAACGGCUCACCAAGGCGACGAUACAUAGGGGGACUGAGAGGUUAACCCCCCACACUGGUACUGAGACACGGACCAGACUCCUACGGGAGGCAGCAGUGAGGAAUAUUGGUCAAUGGACGCAAGUCUGAACCAGCCAUGCCACGUGCAGGAUGACGGCUCUAUGAGUUGUAAACUGCUUUUGUACGAGGGUAAACGCAGAUACGUGUAUCUGUCUGAAAGUAUCGUACGAAUAAGGAUCGGCUAACUCCGU
rnacentral:rRNA from 1 species